rnacentral:rRNA from 1 species
UUUUGUGCGAGAGUUUGAUCCUGGCUCAGGAUGAACGCUGGCGGCGUGCUUAACACAUGCAAGUCGAGCGAAGCGCUUUACUUAGAAUUCUUCGGAAGGAAGAGUGGAGUGACUGAGCGGCGGACGGGUGAGUAACGCGUGGAUAACCUGCCUCAUACAGGGGGAUAACAGUCAGAAAUGGCUGCUAAUACCGCAUAAGCCCACAGUGCCGCAUGGCACAGUGGGAAAAACUUAAGGUGGUAUGAGAUGGAUCCGCGUCUGAUUAGCUGGUUGGUAAGGUAACGGCUUACCAAGGCGACGAUCAG